GCAUGCAGCAAAUAAUUAAGAGAAAUUUCAAAUAUCAUCCCUGAAGUUUCACAUUUUUUUUAUUUUAAUACUCUAUAAUUUAAAGUGUAUCAAUUUAGUAUCAUGUAGUUUUAUUUUUAUUUUUUUAUGAUCGAUUCCACUAAUUUUUUUUUAUUAAUCAGUGAUAAAGUUAAAACUAAAAGAUACUAAAGUGAAUAUUCGAUAAACCUAUAUAAAGUAUUUGAAGUUUUUUGUACAUAAUUUAACAAAAUAUUAACGGAGAAGCUGACGAAAAUAUAAAAAUAAAGCUAUGUGACACUAACUUGAUAUAUUUUAAAUCAUAUGGUACUAAAGUGAGAAAGUACGAAACCACAGGAGUGGUAUCUGAAGUUUACCCGAUAAUUAAUUAUUAUAUAUGCAUGGUACCAGGUAGAGU
rnacentral:lncRNA from 1 species